rnacentral:rRNA from 1 species
CCUACGGGAGGCAGCAGUGAGGAAUAUUGGUCAAUGGACGAGAGUCUGAACCAGCCAAGUCGCGUGAAGGAUGACUGCCCUCUGGGUUGUAAACUUCUUUUAUAGAGGAAUACAACGAGGCACGUGUGCCUUUUUGCAUGUACUUUAUGAAUAAGGAUCGGCUCACUCCGUGCCAGCAGCCACGGUAAUACGGAGGGUCCGUGCGUUGUCCGGAUUUGUUGGGUUUAAAGGGAGCGUAGAUGGGUUGUUAAGUCUGUUGUGAAAGUUUGCGGCUCAACCGGAAAAUGGCAAUUGAUACUGGCAGGCUUGAGUGCAGUAGAGGUAGGCGGAAUUCGUGGUGUAGCGGUGAAAUGCUUAGAUAUCACGAAGAACCCCGAUUGCGAAGGCAGCUUACUAAACUGUGACUGACGCUGAGGCUCGAAAGUGUGGGGAUCAAACAGGAUUAGAUACCCUGGUAGUC